GAUAGGUGGGUUUUAUCACCUCCCUGCCUGCUCCAUGCACAUGUGUGUAUGCUUUUCCAAUCAGAGCCCAUCCGCCCUUCCCUUCUGUUUCCAUGCAGGACUGCUUUCCAUCACAGCUGUAACUCUGCACACCCAUGGAGAGCGAAGGUGGGAAGGAGUGACCAGAGGUGAUGGCUGCAGAGGUGAAAGAGAAAGGCCGUGUCAGAGAGUGAAUUCCUGCCUGCAUCGAUGGCAGCGGAGGGAUUGUGUGAGCACAUGAAUUAUGGAACACCAUGCAAGAGGCAGAACACAGCAGUGUGCAGAGAACCUGGCCCUGAUCCUGGUGCAGAAGAGCAAUCCUGCUGCUGCCAGAGGAGCUGCACUGACAUCAAUCUGCUGUAAGCUGGAGCAUCACAGAGCCUUGCAUUGGACAUUUUCCACCUUCCAGAGUGAACGGGUGGACUCCUCUCAAGCAGACAAGCCUCAGCAUGCACAGUUAUCCUUCUUAGAUGGAUGUCAUUAUCCGCAGCAGGCAGCUUUGCUGGUUUUUCCUCCCCCUCACCAUCUCUGCCAAGAGGACCGGAGGGCUGCGGUCAGUGGCACCACCGAGGGACACGUGGACUGACAGUGUGCCAACACAGCAGAAAGCUGCAGUCUGGAGCUCCAGAAACGUACAAAAGCAGAGCUCCUGUAAACCACUGACAGCAUUGGGAUCGCCAGCACAAGGGAGCACUCUAUUUGAAUUCUUUGCACUGGAGGCAAUUGAUGACCUUUCUUUGGCUCGGCGUCGAUCUGACCAUGCAGGGAGACCUCCCCACACUGAUCCCAGGUGGGAUUCUUCCUGCACGGUUGCUCCCACGUAGCAUCCAAAGGUAGGGAACUCCGUCUUGUUAACAUGCCCAAUCUCCGACAGCCACACCACUUAAUUUUGGCUUCAGUUUUGUGUUUUGCCCCCCUGGGGCUGUCCUGGCUGGACCUCACAGCACACCCACCACAGCUCCUAACAGAAAACCGACUGCUCAUAGAAUUUAAGUUGGAAGGGACCUUUAAAGGCCAUCUGGUCCCACUCCACCAAACAGGGACACCCGCAGCUCCAUCAGUGCUCGGAGCCCACCCUCCCCACCCGGUGUGCCCGCAGGGAUGGGGAGGCACUCCCAGCGCAAGAAGCACGAAAAGCUGCUUCUUUACGCUCAGCCUAAACUCCCCCCACUCGCGAAACCGUUUCCAUCCCCCUCAUCCCAUCACAGCGGGAUGAAGGGGAAAAAAAAGAAGAGAACAGGAGGCAGCCUUCCUCGUGCAGGCGGUGCCAGGCGGAGCGGGGCGGGCUGGCGGCGGGGAUCGCCGAGCCGGAGCCGUGCUGGCUGCCCCCCGCCGCUGCCCCCGGCGCAGCCCCGCCGCCCGUCGCUCACC
rnacentral:lncRNA from 1 species